GAUGAACGCUGGCGGCGUGCCUAACACAUGCAAGUCGAGCGAACAGACGAGGAGCUUGCUCCGCUGACGUUAGCGGCGGGCGGGUGAGGCACACGAGGAUAACCUACCUAUAAGACUGGGAUAACUACGGGAAACCGGAGAUAACACCGGAUAAUAUAGUGAACCGCAUGGUUCAUUAGUGAAAGACGGUUUUGCUGUCACUUAUAGAUGGAUCCGAGCCGGAUUAGCUAGUUGGUAAGGUAACGGCUUACCAAGGCAACGAUGCGUAGCCGACCUGAGAGGGUGAUCGGCCACACUGGAACUGGGACACGGUCCAGACUCCUACGGGAGGCAGCAGUGGGGAAUCUUCGGCAAUGGGCGAAAGCUUGACGCAGCCACGCCGCGUGUGUGAUGAAGGUCUUCGGAUCGUAAAACUCUGUUAUUAGGGAAGAACAAAUGUGUAAGUAUCUAUGGCCGUCUUGACGGUACCUAAUCAAAAAGCAACGGCUAACUACGUG
rnacentral:rRNA from 1 species